ACUUGAAGUUCGUGAUCUCGUAUGAAAGAAAAUCCAGACCAUUCUAAUAUGUUGACGGUUAUCGUUUUGCAGACAUCUUUGUUUUAAUCGACGAAUGAUGUAAGGUCACGCAACAUUACCCGCCUCUGUGAACACUUCCUCGAUUUCCGAGAAACCAAGCAGCAGAAAUGGCCGACAUUGCGCCUUCGCAAAUUGAUUUGCUUCCUUUAAUGAAGCACAGAGUGGAACUGCCAGUUUCAGUUCAUCAGAAAAGGCAAGGAAAGAGCGAGUUUUAGUAAAGUGCAUCUGGAGUAGCUUCAAACGUUCAUGGAACUUAAUAAACGUGGAAGAGGAAGAGGGGCGAGGAAUCGUGGUCGAGGAAAUCAUAGCAGAAGCACAACCCCAGGUUUGGUUUCGGAUCAUUCAUAAGAGGAAUUGUUAAUAUUUCAGAAGAUUCAUAUGAGGAAUUGUUAAUAUUGAAAAUUGUUGGUUGUAAACUAGUUGUCUCAAAAAAAUGUCUUUUGUAAUGGAGCCAUUAUAAAGUAUACUUUCAAGUUA